AAACAUAUUACUUCGAUAUACCUUUCGUAAUUGACCAUAAAAAUCCAGCCUCUCUCGAUCGACUUCGAGGCGGCCACAAACCCUUCCUUCCAAAUCCUCGAAUCAAAAUCCUCCGAGAAAAGCUUCCAAUACGUCAAGUUCAGAGGCUGAGACAAGCCGAACAAGUUAGAGGGCUAUGGAUUCAGAUCAGGGGAAGCUAUUCAUAGGUGGGAUCUCGUGGGAGACUACGGAGGAGAAGCUGAAGGAUUACUUUGAGAACUACGGAGACGUGAUUCAGACUGUAGUUAUGAGGGACAAGACUACUGGCAGGCCCAGGGGGUUCGGCUUCGUGGUCUUUGCAGAUCCUUCCGUUCUCGAUAGGGUUCUCCUGGACAUCCACACCAUUGAUGGCAGAACGGUUGAGGCUAAGAGGGCAUUAUCAAGAGAGGAGCAGCAAACUUCUGCCAAAGCUGGGAAUCCUAGUCUAGCUAGAAGUUCUGGGGGUGGUGGAACUUUCAGAACCAAGAAGAUCUUUGUUGGAGGAUUGCCUGCCACUCUAAGUGAAGAAGGAUUUCGUCAGCAUUUUGAGACUUAUGGCCAUGUAACCGAUGUAGUAGUCAUGUAUGACCAGAAUACUGGACGACCUCGUGGGUUUGGGUUUAUUACCUUUGACACUGAAGAAGCUGUUGAUAGGGUUUUACACAAAAACUUCCAUGAUUUAGAUGGUAAGCAAGUGGAAGUAAAGCGGGCUCUUCCUAAAGAUGCGAAUCCUGGUGGGGGUAGCCGUUCAAUGGGUGGUGGUGCUGGUGGUGGGGGUUCACUUGGUAGUGGUUAUCAGAACUAUGGGGCAUCUGGUGGUAACCCGAAUGCAUAUGAUGGUCGAAUGGAAUCCAAUAGGUACAUGCAGCCACAGAGUACUGGAGGUGGUUUUGGUCCAUAUGGCUCCUCUGGAUAUAGCACACCUGGCUAUGGAUAUGGUCCUGCCAAUAAUGGCAUUAGUUAUGGUGGUUAUGCUGGUGCCAAUACUGGGUAUGGUGGACCUGCCGGUGCAGCAUAUGGAAACCCAAAUAUUCCUAGUGCUGGUUUUGGAAGUGGUCCACCAGGCGCUCCCAGAAGUUCAUGGAGCACUCAAUCUCCUACUGGAUAUGGUGCUCUGGGUUAUGGUAAUACUGCUGCUUGGGGUGCUCCAACUGGAAGCACUGGUGCUCCUAGUGGUGGCCCAGGCUCAGCACCUACAGGCCAGUCGCCUAGUGGGGCCACUGGUUACGGGAAUCAAAGUUAUGGCUAUGGUGGUUAUGGUGGGAGUGAUGGGUCUUAUGGGAAUCCUGGUGGAUAUGGUGCUGUUGGAGGGCGUUCUGGGAGUGUGUCAAAUAACAAUGCUGGUGGUCCAGGUGGAGGGGAUAUGCAAGGGAGUGGUGGUGGAUACAUGGGAAGUGGCUAUGGUGAUGCUAAUGGUAAUCCAGGGUAUGGAAAUGCAGCAUGGAGAUCUGAACAAUCACAAACUUCUGGAAAUUAUGGUGCUCCUCAGGGGAAUGGUCCUCAUGGUGGGCAGGUUGCCUAUGGUGGUGGAUAUGGCAGUGCUCAAGCCCGAACCCAACAACAGUAAUUAUUAUGGCUAGAGAUCCAACUGGAUCACCAUCUUUGUUUCUUUACUGUGAGAGGCUCGGAAUUGUUUUCCAUGCCAGGCAGCACAGGGAGUGGUGCAAGUUGAAUGUCAACACCCUUUGGGACUGGAGAGAUGCACGAGGUCUAAAGUGGAGUGAAGUGUCCACUCAUGGCUGAACACAAGCAUCGUUGUGGGGGCGGGGGGGGAGUGUUCAGCAAGGGAAUUUGAGGACUUUGUUCAGUUGAAAUAACGGAUUUGCAUGGGACAGGUCAUUCUUCAGCCUGGUCAUGCCAACACUGUCAAACAUUGCAGAUUCCAGGCUUUCCAAGUGAUAAACUUCCUAAUCUUCACCCAGGUGUAGAGGGACUGGAGGAUUUUGUGAGGUCAACAGCACUCAUGAAUUCAUUGUGACCUAGUUGGUUAGGAUGAUGCCUUUUGAUUUAGAAUACAUCAAGGUAUUUGGUUUCAGAUGUUCCCAAGUAUAUUGGAAUGUGUCUUUGUUAAAAACAGUUCAAUGAAGUUUCAGAAUGAAGUAGAGGAUUUCCAAAAACA